rnacentral:lncRNA from 1 species
UUAGUUUUCUCUCUUCUCCCAUUUGAGAAUUCUUAAGGAAUUCUAUUUGCUUGUAAUAUUUUGGAGAUAGUAAAGUUAUCAUCUGGUGUUAGUGCCCGAGGACGUAGGUAUAAUUUACCGAACCUCGUUAAAACUCUUAUGUUCUUUUUGUCCUAUUUUUCUUUCAAUAUUUGAUGGUAUAAUAGUAGUAUUUAAUUGUGCUACUAAAUUACGUUAGAAGGAAUAUUCUGACUAAGGAAAGACUUGGUAUUUAAGAGAUCCUUGUGAUCCACCUCUCUUCCCUGGGAAUUGAACUUUGUGUGAUUUUUUAGUACAAUAAUUUACACGCUUCCGACCCUAUUGGAACAACACAGAACACUGUUCUACAUUUGCGUGCUGAAAUGGUAGACACAAUAUCCAUUAACCAGUCUCUAAAUCCACUCUGUAAUACAUCCUGAUUCCAUGUUUUUUUCUAACUGCUGCCAUAUUUCUUUUACAGUGAUAAAAUCUUGGAAAGCAUGCUCUGUCGUUUCAGUUCCAUCUGAGCAUCAAGGACAGACUGUUGACUUCGAAGCCUUCUGUAACGGAGAUUACAAUACGUUGGAAUGUAGUUAUUAAAUAGCCUCCAUAUUGUAAUCUUACUUUUUUAU